rnacentral:rRNA from 1 species
CGGACGGGUGAGUAACGCGUGGGUAACCUGCCUCAUACAGGGGGAGUAACAGUUAGAAAUGGCUGCUAAUACCGCAUAAGCGCACAGAGCUGCAUGGCUCGGUGUGAAAAACUCCGGUGGUAUAAGAUGGACCCGCGUUGGAUUAGCUUGUUGGUGGGGUAACGGCCCACCAAGGCGACGAUCCAUAGCCGGCCUGAGAGGGUGAACGGCCACAUUGGGACUGAGACACGGCCCAGACUCCUACGGGAGGCAGCAUG